rnacentral:tRNA from 1 species
ACCGACGGGAUUGUUUUGAGCUCGGGGUGCACUCCGAAGGCAAAGGUCACACGUUCGAAUCGUGUCGGGUGCGCCA